AACGAACGCUGGCGGUGUGCUUAACACAUGCAAGUCGCACGAGAAAGCCGUAGCAAUACGGUGAGUAAAGUGGCGCACGGGUCAGUAACACGUGGAUAAUCUACCUCCGGGAGGGGUACAACCUGUCGAAAGAUGGGCUAAUUCCCCGUAAGACCACGAAAUCUUAGGAUUUUGGGGUAAAAGGUGCCUCUACUUGUAAGUUAUCGCCUGGAGAUGAGUCCGCGCAUCAUCAGCUUGUUGGUGGGUAACGCCCACCAAGGCCAAGACGAUUAGCUGGUCUGAGAGGACGACCAGCGACACUGGAACUGAGACACGGUCCAGACUCCUACGGGAGGCAG
rnacentral:rRNA from 1 species